UUCAAAACAUAUGACUAAUUGGUUUGAUUCUAAUAAUGUUAAAUCUUUUCAUCUUGUUUCCUUAGGAAACAUUUGGCUGUACUUUAAAAAUUUAAUCCGAAGCUGCAAGAAAAAUGAUUAUUGGUUACCAAGUAGGAUUUUACAAGAUUUCUGUAUUUAUCUUAGAGAGAGAGUAAGCAAGCACGAGUUGGGGGAGGAACAGACUCUUCAAGCGGACUCCCUGCUGAGUGUGGACCCUGAGGUGGCUCAAUCUCAUAACCCAUGGGAUCACUACCCAGGAUGAAACCAAUUGUUGGACGCCUCACCAACUGAUACACCCAGGUACCCUUAAAACUGUAAGCUUAUUUUAAAUGUUCCUCUCAAGUCCUUGUUCCCCUUAAAACCUUC
rnacentral:lncRNA from 1 species